UAGCUCAGUUGGUAGAGCAUGAGCUCUGAGCUCUGAGCUCUGCCCAGGGUUGUGGGUUCGAUUCCCAC
rnacentral:tRNA from 1 species